UACAGAGGGUGCGAGCGUUAAUCGGAAUUACUGGGCGUAAAGCGCGCGUAGGCGGCUUUGCAAGUCGGGUGUGAAAUCCCCGGGCUCAACCUGGGAACUGCAUCCGAGACUGCAUUGCUCGAGUAUGGGAGAGGGAAGUGGAAUUUCCGGUGUAGCGGUGAAAUGCGUAGAUAUCGGAAGGAGCAUCAGUGGCGAAGGCGACUUCCUGGACCAAUACUGACGCUCAGGUGCGAAAGCGUGGGGAGCAAACAGG
rnacentral:rRNA from 1 species